UUCAACCCAGCCCUUUGUGGCUGUUCUGCCUGCCUGGCGAGGCGUUCAAGCUUUGUUGAUGUGGCCUCGGUCCCUCCGAUGGAAGCCAGCCUGAGCUGUGAAGACAACAGCCCCAGGUGCCUAGGCUGGCCACUUCAGCCGAGUGCUCAACUCAAGGACAAUGCUGAGCACCAAGGGACUCAGCGUUCCUCGUGUUCCCGCCAGGCCUGAGCAGUAGGAAAUGACCACGUAAAUUCACUGUAUGGCCACACCUUGCCAACGAGGACUGACUGAAACCCUUCAUUCUCUGAACUCAUGCAUUUGCUUGUGGAGUGACUCACGUGGAAUGUCCUUUUCUUAUAUCAGUAACUAGGCUUCCACCAUUCUGUCAAGACUCUGCUGGAUUGGAUGUGUGAAUCAGUUGAACUGAACUAAAGCAAAUUUAUACUUUGGCAAGAUCAGCUUUCAUACAAGGAGCAGUGGAAGAAAAGUCAAAAAAAGGAAAGCAACUUCCGAAGACUUCUCUAAGGUCAAUACAAAUUUUCAUUCCAAUAUUGUCUCCUGCUGGAUUCACAGACUAUGAAAUGAAAGUCAAUGUUCAAGCUGGUGACCGUAAGGCAGGAAUGCCAGCCUGGAAACAAUGGCAGAGUCCUGCUUUGGGCAGUAUUGUUGCAAAGUCCAGAAAAUAGAUUAAUAUUCAUUACAGAGAUUUCACUGUAAAAAUUGAAGGGAGAGACAUUUAUUUUAACCAGCGCUCCUAGUUUAAUAGCUUACACGUAGGAGGUUCUCAAUAAAUGUCGGUUGAAAUGUU